CCUUCGGGAACUCUGACACAGGUGCUGCAUGGCUGUCGUCAGCUCGUGUCGUGAGAUGUUGGGUUAAGUCCCGUAACGAGCGCAACCCUUGUCCUUAGUUACCAGCACGUUAUGGUGGGCACUCUAAGGAGACUGCCGGUGGACAAACCGGAGGAAGGUGGGGAGUGACGUCAAGUCAUCAUGGCCCUUACGGCCUGGGCUACACACGUGCUACAAUGGUCGGUACAAAGGGUUGCCAAGCCGCGAGGUGGAGCUAAUCCCAUAAAACCGAUCGUAGUCCGGAUCGCAGUCUGCAACUCGACUGCGUGAAGUCGGAAUCGCUAGUAAUCGUGAAUCAGAAUGUCACGGUGAAUACGUUCCCGGGCCUU
rnacentral:rRNA from 1 species